CAUUAAGUAAGUGCCCUUAAUCAGCUUUUCAGUUCAGUUUUAUUGGUUGCAUGCACAGUCAGUUAUUUCAUCCAGAAAAUCUGAAAGCUCUACAAACUAACCAGAACAUGUGCCUGAUGAGUGAAGCUGAAGCAGCCAUUCAGAAGUCAUGAGAUCCCUUGAUGUUCAACACUAUAUUCUGAGAUGAAAGGAGUUUGGUUCUCUGGUCCAGAAUUUAAAACUGGAACAUUUCGAGUCUGGAGAAGAUUCUUCUCAUUAACAGAUGGCUGCCUUUCACUGCGUGGUGAAAUGGCACUGGGCUGAGUGGGCUCUGCCCACUUCUUGUUCUUUUAAUGGUAUCCAUCUUGUCACCGAUUCCCUACUCUCACAACACAGACUUCUUCUUGUUUUUGCUUCAUCGAUGAGGUCUUACUAUAUUGCCCUCCUAAACAGCCUAAGACUCACAAUGUAGACCAAGUAAGCCUCCAGUUGUCAGAGCUCUGCAUGCCUUGUCUGCCAGGUGCUAAGAUUAAAAGCAUAUGUCCUUAUGCUAAAACACACCAAACAUUUCUAUAUAAUCAAAACCAAUGCAAAACAGACAAAAUAUUAAUGCAGUCCAGAGAAGAAUCCCAAACAAAUAAGUAUGCAGAGUGUAGCCCCUUGCUUUCAGAUAGUUGGGAUACAUGGAUGGUAGUCCCCACCCUGCUUAUUUGUUGGCUGCUUGUUAUCUUGAAUGUGACUGUCCUCAUCUGUAAGUGGAUAUGAUAAGAUCUGCCCUCGCUCAGGAAUGCUAUGGACAUCAAAUAGAACUAUGAACACAAAAGAACCUAUAAAGAAUUCUGUAAACUGUAAAGUGCAGCCUAGAUUCUGUUAGAGAUUGUAGUCAAGGGACUAUUGUUCACAUGAAAGAAAGUGGAAGGAAGCCAAAGAAUCAGUAGCUGUCAUAAAUUGAGUCCUUCAUUUAUAUUACUAGCCUUGAUGAAAAUCAUGAAUGUUGUCAUCUGAACAGUUUAUAUUGAGAAAUUUAGACAAAUUUUCAUUAUAAUUUCAAGAGAUUCACUGACCACUUGAAGCUUAUAUAUUUAGAGCGCUCACAAUUAAAAACACUUGUUUAAAAAAAAGGAAAAUAUAAGUAAUGUGGAAAGUAUGUGAGUCCAAGAGUACACUGGGUAUAUUGGUGAACUGAGCAAGCUGGUGGUUAGGAGUGAGCAAAGAGCUAGUCAGAAAUGAGCUAAAAGUAAAAUAAAAAACAGGCAGGUUGCUGGUUAACAGUGUCAAUGUGUCCUUGUUUAGAAGAGUCAGUAAAUACCUGUGUGUGCAUGAAGGUUCUUGGAGGACUCUCAUUCGUGGAGUGAGAAACUCAGAAAAGUGUGUGAUAGAGGGCAAAAGAGUGGGAGUGUGUUGAGAGAUAGAAGUGGGGUGAAGACGUUUUCAGAAGUCUGUCUGGGCUGCAGUCUUUGCAGUUAAUGGUAACUAAUAGCUCUACUUCUUCAUUUCCAGCUUCUUCUGUAGGUUUCCCAGGAGGCCACUCUGGAAGGACUUAAUGACAAUACUCGAGAGAAAAUAGGAACCCUUGCUAUCAAAACUCCUCUGUAUUAAUACUAUCCUGCAACUGACUUAGAACUGAACUUUAUGUCUAUGUUCUCCAUGAACACUUUUACUACCCACUGCUGAUUCUACCUAGAGUUACUCCUGCUAUACCUGUAUUGACAAUUUGAAUUUUAGGAAUGACUUCAGCCUUGACCAAAACAGCUCCUGUGUGCUCCACAUGACUGUGUGCAUGUGUUUGUUUCAGCUCCACUGUCCAGGCUUCUAUGUCCUAUGAUAUGAUACAUCCUGGUAACUGUAUCUGACUCUGCAGCCUCCCAGACCACAUCAUGAGCAGUUCAGGAGACUCUUGUGCAAGUUCUAGUUAUAUACUAAUGCCAUUUCUGCUUGUUCCUUAUUUGAAAAUAUAGAGAAGAGACAGACA